CCUACGGGAGGCAGCAGUGGGGAAUAUUGCGCAAUGGGCGAAAGCCUGACGCAGCGACGCCGCGUGAGGGAUGAAGGUCUUCGGAUCGUAAACCUCUGUCAGAAGGGAAAAAUGUACAGUGCCCCAAUCAACACUGUAUUGAUGGUACCUUCAGAGGAAGCACCGGCUAACUCCGUGCCAGCAGCCGCGGUAAUACGGAGGGUGCAAGCGUUAAUCGGAAUUACUGGGCGUAAAGCGCGCGUAGGUUGUUUUGUAAGUCAGAGGUGUAAUCCCACGGCUUAACCGUGGAACUGCCUUUGAUACUGCAUAACUUGGAGCCGGGAGAGGUCAGCGGAAUGCCAGGUGUAGGAGUGAAAUCCGGAGAUAUCUGGAAGAACAUCAGUGGCGAAGGCGGCUGUCUGGACCGGUAUUGACGCUGAGGCGCGAAAGCGUGGGUAGCAAACAGGAUUAGAUACCCGUGUAGUC
rnacentral:rRNA from 1 species